rnacentral:rRNA from 1 species
GACGAACGCUGGCGGCGUGCCUAAUACAUGCAAGUCGAGCGAAGUUUUUCUGGUGCUUGCACCGGAAAAACUUAGCGGCGAACGGGUGAGUAACACGUAAAGAACCUGCCUCAUAGACUGGGACAACUAUUGGAAACGAUAGCUAAUACCGGAUAAUAGCAUUAACUGCAUGGUUGAUGUUUAAAAGUUGGUUUUGCUAACACUAUGAGAUGGCUUUGCGGUGCAUUAGCUAGUUGGUGGGGUAAAGGCCUACCAAGGCGACGAUGCAUAGCCGACCUGAGAGGGUGAUCGGCCACACUGGGACUGAGACACGGCCCAGACUCCUACGGGAGGCAGCAGUAGGGAAUCUUCCGCAAUGGGCGAAAGCCUGACGGAGCAACGCCGCGUGAGUGAAGAAGGAUUUCGGUUCGUAAAGCUCUGUUGUUAGGGAAGAAUGAUUGUGUAGUAAGUAUACACAGUAGAGACGGUACCUAACCAGAAAGCCACGGCUAACUACGUG